UUCAAGCUUCUUGAAAACUAAACAAUAUGAGUAUUUGAUACUUGAGUUUGUUUUGAAUUUUUGAGUUGUUUUUUUUAAAGCUAUUUAAAAAUUGAAAACUGAAAAUUAUCAAUCUUUGAUGUUUGCAUUUGAUCUGGAUUUCUGAAAUUUCUUUCUCAAUUGAAAUUUUAACUUUCUUUUACUAUUUUUUGGUUUUGUUUUUCCUUUGUUCUUUUUAGUUUUUACCCGCAAAAUGUCUUUCUUUGCUUUUAUAACAACAAAGAAGAUAGAAAACAGAAAGAGGGAAAAAAUCUGUAUAUUUAAAUUUCUUGUUUUUUUCGUUUUUUUCUUUUACAUUUUAUGCAAUUUCUGCACAAAACAAUCUGUAAGUUUAAAUUUCUUAUGCAAAGUUUUCCCUUCUCUUUAAUUAGAAAGUUUACUAAUUGGCUAGUAAUAGUAUCCUUUUUUUUAUGAAUUACUUAUUUAUUUGGUUGCUUGUGUGGAAUUUUUUAGGCAUUCACAAAAGGUUUUUCUUGUUUUUGUUCUUCAAGUGUGGGGAUGAUGUUGGGUUUCAUUUCAAGUGGUUAAUUAUCUUUUUCUCUUUUGAUGGAGAAUAGAUUAAGGCCAGCCAAAUUUUCCUUCUUGAUGGUUGUUUACAGCUUUGAUUGGUUUCUUGAUUUCAAUGAAACUAAAAUUUGAAGCUAAUUUUAUAUUGUUUAGCAUCAUAUUAUUUUAGCUUUUUUAAGGAGGAAGAUAAAGGGGGUAAGGUCAUUUUUAGAUAUAAAGAGAGACAAAAGAUGGCAAAAGAGAAUUAUGGAUUAGAAGAACCAAUUUUUCUCAUACAGUUUAUCAUAGGCUGGAUCUGAGGGACUUGUGAUAAUGGUUAUUUAUGUUAAAAUGAAAAUGAUACAGAUUCAUGUGUUGGAAGAGUGGAGGGAUUUUGGCUUUGUAAGGAUUGUCUGGUUGCUAGAAUGAUAUUUCUCAUUUUGGAUGUCCUUUUAAUAAGAUCUUUCAUUUUUAUUUAUAUAAUAAGAUCUAUUUUAACUUUAUAAUCAUUUGCUCUUUCCAUUCAUUUAAUUAUUUACUUCAACUUUCAAAACAAACAUUGCAUUUAUAGCAUGCCUUUAUGAAGUGAUAUUAACCUUUUCUAUGUUUCUUUGCCAAUUUCAUAUAGUGGAAUCACACAUCCCACAUUGUCAGAGAACUGAUAUCAUUUGCUUAAAAAAUCAGCCCACACCAAGAAAAUAUCUACAUGAUCCAAGUACACCAACAAAAGAACCACUUUAAUAAUUAGGGUUUUAGUUCUGCUAUCGUUUUUAGUUUGUUGUGCUUUCUGCACCACCAAAUGUAUAUGACUUCUGUUAUUAAAUUAUUCUUUCUUUCAGUGACCAACUUGGUUAUGGCUUCAUAAUAGGCUUAAGACUUUAUCCUUUGCAGUCUGGAGGGAUUAAUAACUUGUGUAGUUUUUCUCUCAAUAUAUUUAGCCUUCGUGUCAAUGUCGUAUUUUGUAUUGCUUUUUUAGUUGUUCUUUCUGUGUUAUGUUUGUGUCAUACAAUCGUAUUGUAUCAAACAUUACCAAGUAUAGCAUCUAAUAGUUGCAUAAGCAGUGUCUGUGUAUGUUUAUUAUACAAAAUUGGCCUUAAGUUGUUGAUUAUUUGUUAAUUAUUCAUGCCAAUAUAAAGUUGAUUUGGCAAAGGCAAUCUUGAUGGCUCGUUGCUAUGCACAAGCUAAUAAUGUUUCUUAUUUUUAUCCAUCUAAUGUAUGUAAAAAGAAUCAAUUCUUCUUUUUAAUCUUUUUAAUGGUGCAAGAUUCUAGUUGAAACUCACAUAACUAAACAAGCUGUUGCAGAUACAGAGUUUGAAUGGAGAUGCAUGGAAGAACAAGUAUCUACUUCAACAAGCAGUUGCCCGCUCGAUAAUUUUAAAAAACAACAAGAAAACAAGUUUCCAACAAAAGGUUGUUCUGGUCUAAGCUAAUAAAGGAGGACUCAAUAUUGUCAGCUUGGCUUUUGAAUUUACUUCUUCAAGACAGACCAGAAAAAUUGAGCUAACGUCGUACCGAAAUCCUUAACUAAAAAGGGGAAAGAUAAAGUCGACCGGGAAUAGCUCAGAAUUUCUAGUUUGUAUUUCUAUAAUCCGAACUUAGUUGUUAAUUUGUUAUAAUUCAAUUUAAUGCAUAUGAUAAGUGUUGAGGUGAGUAUUUGAUACUUUGAUAUUGAAUUGAAUUAAAGUUGAUUGAAUGGAUUGAAGUGAUAUAUUAUGAAUGUAUUGAUUAUUUGAAUUGAAAUGAAUAUAUAUAUGAGUAAAUGUGCUAAUGUGAAAUUUGGAUAUUUGUUUUAUAUGGAAAGUGAAUUGAAACCCUAUUAAAUGUAUCAGGCUGAGUCGAAUAUAGAUGGCAUGCGAUAGGAUUAGAAGAGUUUAGGGAUUUCUUCGACUUCGAGUCGAUGAGGCACUGGGUGUCAAUUUACUUUGGUUUAACGAUGAGACACUGGGUGUUAAUUUACUACUUCUGAUUUAUUCAAUGAGAUACUGGGUGUCAAUUUACUACUUCGAAUUAUCCGAUAAAGCAUUGGGUGCCAAACUGGUGUGUUGGUUGGAUCCGUGUAUCUGUCCGAGUCCGAGUCGUGUUAAUAGGGGUAAUUAAUUGAAAUGGAACUAUGGUUGAUAUCAGAUGAUUUGUAUGUGAAAUGAAAAUGGGAUAAUGAAUUGAAAUAUGGAUUGAGACACAUGAAUUAUGUAUUCAUGAAUUGGAUAUAGAAUGAACAAUAUUGUUGUUUAAAUGAUAUUCAUGAAUUGGAUAUAGAAUGAACAAUAUUGUUGUUUAAAUGAUAUGUGUAUCAUAUUGUGAAAAGCUAUUAUAUAGCAAAUGAUGAGAAUUGAGUAUGGUAUGAAUGAUGUAUUUAUGAAUUGAAUAUUGAAUGACUAAUGUCAUUGUAUGAAUAAAUGUGGUUUUUAAUAUUCAAUUGUGCUUAUAAUUAAAAUGUGCAUAUUAUAUUAUCUUGUCUUUAAAUAUUCAGAUUAUAGAAAUACCACUGAGUUUUACUCAGUGUACGAUUUUGUUUUCCGUGCGCAGGUUAAUUACUUAAUUUUGAUCGGCGAUUUAGCAUCCAACAACGAUGUUUAUCUUUUGUGUUGGCAUGUACCUAGGGUGUCUAAAUGUUAGUUAUUUUGUGGAUGAAAUGUAUAUGAGGUUAUAAGUAUAAUGUUGGCUUAGUAUAUAUGUAACAUGUGCUUGUGUUUGAAGCCAUAGUAUAGCAUGGUAAAUGGAAUAAAAGCUUGGUAUGUGCUUGUGAAUUUAAGUUAAUGUUUUAAGUAUAUAUAUGAGAUAGGCCAAAUUGAUGAAUUUUGGCAUGUUUAUAAUUUGAAUUUGAAUGAUGUUUUAAUAAUAUAAAUUGAUUAAAUUUGGUACCAAUUAGGGUACAUUAGUUUGACACCUAGGAUGAUUAUUUUGACAUGAUUUGAAUGUGUUUGAUUGGUUUUUGACAUGAAUAUUAUAUGAUACGAAAUGUUUGAAAUUUUUGUCUGUUUGAUUGGUAAACUCCAAUAAUGCUCAAUAACCCAGUUCCGGUAAGGGAUACGAGUUGGGGGUGUUACAAUCAUCCAUGUCAAAGAGGGUUUUGCAACAAAUAAAACAGCUUCUCUUUGAAUUGUGUUAGGGAGUUGGUGGAAAAUAACCAUGAGAAGGAGCAGAAAAGGCAAAGAUUUAAAGGAUCUGGUGAGGAGAUGUUAGAUGUGAAAAUAUGAAGGGAUGGGGAAAACAAUGUGGAGAUGAAUCCAACAUUAAGCAAUUGUUGGAGCUGGAUAUAAUUAAUUCAACCCAGGAGUGGAAGAAUGCUUUUUGAAUCCCAGAAGAGGGAUAUGGGGAUAGUAAUUUGAAAUGUCAUAAUAGAAGAGAUUACAAGUGAAGUUUGGGAUUGGACAAUGUUUGUUUAAAUGUCACAAUGAAUAUGACAUUUCAUUUCUAGUUCUGUUACUAUUUCACUUUGAGAAGUUUUAGUAUGAUUAUGAAAUCAUUACAAACAUGUAUAUAGGGUUGGACAUUGCUUAAUGCUAGUUGGAUAUUUGGUGUAUAGAUGUUUUAAUGUUACUGCUAAGUUUGUUUGGUGUAUAGAUGUUUGAUAUUUUUCAUAUAUAUAAAAAUGUGAAUAAUUUUUGUUUUUGGAUAAA